GCUUACGGCCAUACCACCCUGAGAACGCCCGAUCUCGUCUGAUCUCGGAAGCUAAGCAGGGCCGGGCCUGGUUAGUACUUGGAUGGGAGACCGCCUGGGAAUACCAGGUGCUGUAAGCC
rnacentral:rRNA from 1 species